GACGAACGCUGGCGGCGUGCUUAACACAUGCAAGUCGAACGGAAAGGCCCUGCUUUUGUGGGGUGCUCGAGUGGCGAACGGGUGAGUAACACGUGAGUAACCUGCCCUUGACUUUGGGAUAACUUCAGGAAACUGGGGCUAAUACCGGAUAGGAGCUCCUGCUGCAUGGGGGGGGUUGGAAAGUUUCGGCGGUUGGGGAUGGACUCGCGGCUUAUCAGCUUGUUGGUGGGGUAGUGGCUUACCACGGCUUUGACGGGUAGCCGGCCUGAGAGGUUGGCCGGCCACCUUGGGCCUGCGGUACGGCCCAGACUCCUACGGGAGGCAGCGGUGGGGAAUAUUGCACAAUGGGCGGAAGCCUGAUGCAGCAACGCCGCGUGCGGGAUGACGGCCUUCGGGUUGUGAACCGCUUUCGCCUGUGACGAAGCGUGAGUGACGGUAAUGGGUAAAGAAGCACCGGCUAACUACGUG
rnacentral:rRNA from 1 species